GAUUGGCUUCACUUUCGCUUUCCACUUUCCAGCUUAUGAAUCACUUUCCACUCGGAGAUAAGUAUUGAAAGAGUAGAGACCCCUCUUUUUAUCUCUUCAAUAAUUUAUCUUUCAGGACACUCCAAAGCAAAAUCAACAUCAAAGAUAGAUUUUCUCUAAUCCAGCACAGAAACGUUGAAUCCAUAUAUUUUCCAGGGAACAAAUUCUAUCAUCAUUACUUUAUAGCCGAAAGCAUGAGUCCCACAUUAGAUAGAGUUUUUCGGUCAUGAUGUUCAAGUGAAUCUUUUCAACAAGAGAGAGAGAGAGAGAGAGAGAGAGAGAGAGUAGACUAGUAUGGCAUUGGGAGAGAUCUUUCUUGCGGCAUUCCUUCAGUUGCUGCUGGACAGGUUAACGCCUCGGGAGGUCCUGGGCUACUUUGGAAGCUUGGGAGGAGUUGGCAAAAAGCUGCAGAAAUUGAGGGAAACACUGUCCGCAGUUGCGGCGGUGCUUUCCGAUGCGGAGGAGAAGCAGUUGACGAACAAGGCAGUGGAGCUGUGGCUGAAUGACCUCAGACACUUGGCUUACGAUAUCGACGAUCUACUCAACACCUUUCCUAAUGAGAUGUUAGAAGGCGAGCAGCUCAAGCUUCACCAAACUGGCACAAGCAAGGUACGAAGCUUCUUUACCAAAGGUCCUCACAAAGUCAGGUUCAUUUUCAAUAUGAACUCCCAAAUAGAGGAGAUUUCUAAUCGCUUGCAAAAGAUAUUUGACCUGAAAAAGAAUCUUGGUUUGAAAGUGACUGGGCUUAACUCUACUUCAACAUCCUCAUGGCAAAGGCCACCAGGUUCGUAUGUGUUGGAUGGACCUGUGGUUGGGAGAGAUGAAGACGCAAGAAAAAUUGUUAAAUUGUUGUCCAGAGAUGUUGAUCCUUCUUCUACCACCAAUUAUCAAGUUGUUGCCAUUGUUGGUAUGGGAGGAGUCGGCAAGACAACGAUUGCGGGACAAGUCUUCAAUGAUGUAGCUGCAAAGGAACAGUUUGAUCUCAAGGUCUGGGUUUCAGUGUCCGAUGACUUCAAUCUUGAAACGGUGACGAGAACUAUUUUUAAGAAAGUCACAUCUGGGCCAUGUGAUAUUGAUGAUUUCAGUCAACUUCAAGAUGAUCUGAGCAAGGCGCUGGAUGGUAAAAGGUUUUUGAUUGUUUUAGAUGAUGUCUGGAGCACGUGUGGUUAUGAUUCAUGGACAAAACUGCAAGCUCCCCUCCGUGGCGGAGCCAAGGGAAGUAAGGUAAUGGUGACAACACGUGAUGAAAAAGUUGCAGUAUUAAUGGGAGCUCGAGCCGCUGGAGUUUAUUAUUUAAAGAGACUAUCAGAUGAAUGUUGUCUACAAGUAUUUGAGCAGCAUGUUAGCAAUGACAGGCCACCAAAUUUUGACUUGCUUAAGAAGAAAAUUGUUACGAACUGCAAUGGAUUGCCAUUGGCUGCAAAAACUCUUGGUGGUGUUUUACGUUGUAAAGAAACUGACAAGUGGGAGGAAAUACUGAAUGACAAAUUAUGGAGUAUAUCAGAUGGGAGUGAAAUACUCCCAGUACUGAGAUUGAGUUAUCUUUAUCUCCCUUCAACUUUGAAGAGGUGCUUUGCUUAUUGCUCAAUACUUCCCAAUGACUACAAAUUUGAGAAAACCCAAUUAAUCCUUCUGUGGAUGGCAGAGGGUUUUCUUGAGCAACCAGAAGGGGCUAAAGCAAUGGAAGAUAUCGGUGACGAAUAUUUCGGGGAGCUAUUGUCUCGGUCAUUAUUUCAAAAUUCGGGCAAAAACAGUUCACAUUAUGUAAUGCAUGACCUUGUUGGUGAUUUGGCACGAUGGGCUGCUGGAGACACAUUUUGCAGAUUAGAGGAUAAACCGCAUGGUAGAUGUUCUCCAAAGACUCGUCAUCUGGCUUACACUUCUAGUAAGUUCGAUGGGGUAAAAAGAUUUGAGACAUUUUCUGGAGCAAAACGCUUGCGGACUUUCCUACCACUUCCUGUUUCCGGUGGUUAUGAGAAUUAUCUAACUCGUUAUGCUACUUCUGAUUUAUUGCCACAAUUGAAGUACUUGCGGGUGCUCUCUUUCAAUGGUUAUAAACUGACCGAGCUGCCAAAAUCCGUAGGUAAGUUGAGACAUCUACAGUACCUUGAUCUUUCUCACACAUUAAUAACGAGUUUGCCUGAGUCAACAUGCAUGCUUUACAACUUACAUACGUUAAUAUUAGAGAAUUGUUCAAAAUUGAAGACACUACCUUCAAACAUGAGCAAUUUAUCUAAUUUACGUCAUCUCAACAAUUCAAACAUGCCUUCAUUGGAAGAAAUGCCUCCCCAAGUAAGUCGGUUGAUUCAUCUGCGAACUUUGCCUAACUUUGUGGUGGGGAGAUCCGGGAUUGGAGAGAUAGGGUCAUUGCAUCUUUGUGGAACCUUGAGCGUUAGAAGAUUGGAAAAUGUGAUUGAUGUUGGGGAUGCGAAGAGGGCCCAAAUAAUGAACAAGGAAGGGCUAAAAACCUUGCAAUUGGAAUGGAGUGGCACAAGUGAGAAGGAGUCGGAGGUGCUCUGCAGUUUAGAACCUCAUAAAAAGCUUCUACACCUCACUAUCAAGGGCUACAAUGGUUCCGAACUUUCCAAAUGGAUUGGACGGCCUUCAUUCUCUGAUAUGAAGUUUGUGAAGUUAGAGGACUGUAAAAACUGUCGAUUCUUACCCCCUUUUGGCCAGUUACCUUGUCUGAAAAGCCUUUGGAUAAAAGGACUGGCCAGUGUUGAAAGUGUGGGUGCUGAGUUUUAUGGAGAGUGUAGCUUGCCUUUUCAAGUCUUGGAAUUCCUAGGGUUCGAGGAUAUGCAAAAUUGGAAGGAUUGGCUUCCUUGCAAAAUAAAUGAAGAAGUUCGAGUUUUUCCAUGCAUAGAAUUGCUUGACAUCCGUAGUUGCCCCAAAUGGAAGGGUUGGUUGCCCAAGAUGGAUUCAUUAUCACGUAUGUUUAUUAAUGAAUGUGAAGUGUCAGUGGUUUCAAUAGCCAAUUAUAAACAUCUUCAUGAUUUGACCAUCAACGGUUGUAAAAGGGUGGUGCACAGAAGUGGAGUUAAGUUUGAGUCACUGGAGGAUUUGGGGUUUUCAAGUAUUCCGGAGUUCAGACUCGAAAUAGAUGGGUUCAUCAGAGGAUUACCAAAGCUUCAAAGAUUGUGGAUUACUGAUUGUGAAGAGUUGACAUGUCUGUGGGAGAAUGAGGAUAGAUGGCUGCAGCCUCGGAUUUCUAAUAAUAUUGGAGGCAACAUCUCUGACUCCCCCUCUCACUUUAUUCAAGAGCUAAGAGCACUCAAGGAACUUCACUUAACUGGAUGCUCAAAUCUAAUUUCUUUUCCAGAAGCUGGUUGGCCACCUUGUCUUGAAUAUGUAAAGAUGGAGUCGUGUAAUUCUUUGAUGCAUUUUGUGAGGCAUCAGGUACCACCGAGCAUAAAAAGAUUAGAGAUAGCAAAAUGUCAAAAUUUGAAACUAUUAGUCAAGGAUGCUGAGGAGGUAGAGAGUUGUCUGGAGUACUUGGAGAUAAAAGAGUGUGCAUCUUUAACAUCUUUAUCAAGCAAAGGAGGCCGAUUACCCAGGACGCUCAAAUAUCUUUGGAUAAGUGACUGUGAAAAAUUGGAGUCAAUAAUCAGAACAUUCCACGAUGACACCUGUCUUGAACAUAUUCACAUAGGCAGGUGUGCAAAUCUCAAAUCCUUACCAGAGGGGCUAUGCCAUCUCUCCAUUCUUCGCAAGUUAAAGAUACGCGAAUGUGGAAGUCUCGUUUCCUUCCCGAGAGGAGGGUUGCCAUCCAACCUGAUAGACUUUCGUAUCGUCAAUUGUCGUCAAGCCCUCCCCAGAGGCAUAGGCAACCUCAGCUCUCUUCAGUUUUUGCUGUUGGGAUACUGUGGAGGUUUGGCAUCCAUUAUAGAAGAGGGUUUCCCACCCAACCUAAUUAAUCUUCAUAUUUGGACUCCCGAAAGCUGCAAGCCUCUCUCAGAGUGGGGGCUUCACCACUUGGACAGACUCACCUCUCUUAAACAAUUGGUCAUCGGUGGUGUAGAUCCAAAUUUGGUGUCCUUUCCGCCAAAGGAGGUGCUGCUCCCUAAAUCUCUCAUUCAACUCACCAUUGGAGUCUUCCCAAAUCUGAAGCGCCUGUCAUCAUCUUUUCAAUCACUCACCUCUCUUGAAUCGCUUGACAUUAUUGAGUGCCCAAAGCUAGCAUCUAUUAUCCCAGAACAUGAGGAUCAUCUGCCUCUUUCACUUACACAGCUUCGCAUCUAUGAGGGCUGUCCGCUGCUCACAAAGAAAUACCAACCAGGUAAAGGACGACACUGGCCCAAACAAAUAGCCCACAUCCCUUACGUUUAUGUUGGAGACUACAAGGACGAAGCCAAAGCCGACCGCUGGGCAUAGAAAUCAAACUAUAGAGCCGCAAGAAGUACAAGAUUGAGAAAGUAAGUUCUGAGGCACUUCAGAAGUGUCAGUCCCAGUUCAUGGUGGCACAAGAUGGGAGGCUUAGAGCCACUUCUGAGAUCCUAAACAGUAUGAAGAUCAUUAAGUUACAAUCCUGGGAAGAGAAAUUCAAAAACUCGGUCAAUUCCCUUCGAGAAAGAGAAUUCAAAUGGUUGUCUGAGGGACAAUCUAUAGGAAGGCUUAUGGAACUUUACUCUACUGGAUGUCACCAACCAUUAUCUCUUCUGUUGUUUUUCUAGGGUGUAUCCUUUUCAAAAGUGCCCCUCUGAAUGCAAGUACUAUAUUCACAGUUUUAGCUUCACUAAGGAGCAUGGGAGAACCUGUGAGAAUGAUACCAGAGGCUCUUUCAGUAAUGAUCCAAGUCAAGGUCUCAUUUGAUCGGCUAAAUGCUUUUUUGCUUGAUGAUGAGUUGAAAGAUGAUGAGAUAAGGAAGCUCCCAUCACCAAAUUCAGAUGAGAGCUUGAGAAUACAAAAAGGCAUUUUCAGUUGGUAUCCUGAAUCAGCAAUUCAAACUCUGAAAGAAGUGAACCUAGAAGCAAAAUGUGAGCAGAAAAUUGCAGUUUGUGGACCAGUUAGAGCUGGAAUAUCAUCACUUUUAUUUGCUAUACUUGGAGAGAUGCCCCAAAUUUCAGGAGCUGUCGAUGUAUUUGGAACCAUAGCCUAUGUUUCUCAAACUUCUUGGAUACAAAGUGGGAUAGUUCAUGAUAACAUACUCUAUGGGAAGCCAAUGGACAAGAACAAAUAUGAGAAGAUCAUAAAAGCUUGUGCUUUGGUAAGGACAUAAAUAGUUUUGAUCAUGGUGAUCUUACUGAAAUAGGCCAGAGGGGAAUUAACAUGAGUGGAGGGCAAAAGCAAAGGAUUCAGCUAGCUCGAGCUGUCUAUAGUGAUGCUGAUAUCUACCUCCUAGAUGACCCAUUUAGUGCAGUAGAUGCACACACUGCAGCAAUUCUGUUUCAUGAUUGUGUCAUGGAUGCUCUAGCAAAGAAGACUAUGAUUCUUGUGACUCAUCAAGUAGAAUUUCUGUCAGAAGUUGACAAAAUUCUGGUAAUGGAGAGCGGACAAGUUACUCAAUCCGGAAUCAUCGAUUUGUAUGGAACAAAAUCCUUUUGGAUGAACUUAUCAAGUUCAAGGUAAGAUUUUCCUACUGUAAGGUACGAUUAGUUCAAGGUCCAAAUUAUGUCGUUUCAGUUCCUUUAGUGUACGAGACACUUUACAGGGGGAUCCAGAAACAGAUUUCUACAAGUUCUAAAGCUCGUAAGCUUAUUGCACUUUCAUUCCUAAGGAUCAGUUUGGCAUACAUGGAGUUUAAGAGAAUUUAUGAGUUUUCCGCACCACAGAGUUAAAGAUCACAAGUUUUACUGAAGCCCAGAUCUCCAAAUGAAGAACCCUGGUUCUACAUUUGAUAUUAUUUAUGAACACUGCAGAGUCAUGUUCCGUGGCAUUGGUGUUCUGAAGUUUGCUGCUUUGUUAGUUACUAUUCUAUGCAUGGACAUUUCAAGAAGCUGGAUGAAGAGAUUAAAAGGGGAGCUGCAUCUUUGGAAGUAGAAGCCCAACUAUCUCAGGUUUGCAAUUGUCGAUCACUUCAAAGUGGGACAGUUCGUGAUAACAUACUCUACUUGAUUGAUGUAAUGACUACUGCUACUUGUACAUUUUUAAUUGUCAUUUUGUAAAUUAAAUUACUUAUAACGAUAAUCUGAUUGAAAUGUUUCUCUUACA